CAGAAAUAAACAGACGUUUUGCACAUGUAGAAGCACAAGUAAUGACAUUAACAAUGGAUCUGUCCUAUGAGAUGCAUUCAGUAAACGUCAUUGAUUAUCCAGCCUGUUCCUGCUGUUAGAUCUAUAUGUGUCUGUGGUGAAAAAUCUAUUUUAGUACAGGAAGCAAUUUAUUAACUCUUUUAAAAAGAACAGAAGUACUUAAAUUACUUACAUGUUGAGCUAUGGUUUCACCACAUCCCAUGAUGUAGACAGUAUAAAUAAAACAAUAUCUACAGAGGCCCAAAAUGUUCAUUAUUAAACAGGUACAGGGCAUAAAAUAUUGUUUUUUUGUUUUUUAUCUUUUUAAGUAGUGUGUUCUUGGUCCUUUUCAUUUCAUCCUAACACAAACUUCAGUGUGUGAUAUUUAGUGAUAUCUGUGGGUGAAGCUGAUCACACCUCUCUGCCUUCUCCUUAACCUGAACUACAACACAUCAUUUGUUAGAUCCAGUGUUUGUUUUGUCCAUUCUGUAUCACUUUUCUUGAACAUAGUACUUUAUGCCAAUGAACCCUCUGGAUGAACUGGAUCCACUGGGUGCCAAAUGGUACAGAAUGCAGAAAGGAAAAGAGAAGUUCAGUCUGAGGUACAGUAACACGGCAGAAAGCUAUCCUGUUACUUUUGUAAAUGUAAAUGGUUCAUUCUAAGGCACAGGUGUCAAACA